rnacentral:rRNA from 1 species
AACGAACGCUGGCGGCAGGCUUAACACAUGCAAGUCGAGCGCCCCGCAAGGGGAGCGGCAGACGGAUGAGUAACGCGUGGGAAUCUACCCAUCCCUACGGAAUAACGCAUGGAAACGUGUGCUAAUACCGUAUACGUCCUUCGGGAGAAAGAUUUAUCGGAGAUGGAUGAGCCCGCGUUGGAUUAGCUAGUUGGUGGGGUAAAGGCCUACCAAGGCGACGAUCCAUCGCUUGUCUGAGAGGAUGAUCAGCCACACUGGGACUGAGACACGGCCCAGACUCGUAGAGGAGGCAGCAGUGGGAAAGAUUGGCCAAGGGGCGCAAGCCUGAUGCAGCCAUGCCGCGUGAGUGAUGAAGGCUCUAGAGUUGUAAAGCUCUUUCACCGGUGAAGAUCAUGACGGUAACCGGAGAAGAAGCCCCGGCUAACUUCGUGCCAGCAGCCGCCGUAAUAC